CCUACGGGGGGCAGCAGUAGGGAAUCUUCCGCAAUGGACGAAAGUCUGACGGAGCAACGCCGCGUGAGCGAAGAAGGUCUUCGGAUCGUAAAGCUCUGUUCUCGGGGAAGAACAAGUACGGUAGGAAAUGGCCGUACCUUGACGGUACCCGACGAGAAAGCCACGACUAACUACGGACCAGCAGCGGCGGUAAUACGUAGGAUGCAAGCGUGAUGCGGAGCUAUUGGGCGUAAAGCGCUCGCAGGGGGUCCUUUAAGUCUGAUGUGAAAUGUUGAGGGUGAACCGCAGGCGGUGAUUGGCAAGUGGGGGGCGUGAGUGUAGAGAGGGGGAGCGGAAGACGAGGGGUAGGGGGGUCAGGGGUCGAGGUGGGGGGGAGCAGUGGGGGCAAGGGUGGGUUUCCGGGCUGUAACUGACGCUGAGGAGCGAAAUCGUGUAUGGAAACUAGGAUCAGGUACUCGUGUAGUC
rnacentral:rRNA from 1 species